AUUGAUUUACUAUGUUCAUGAUGAUAGUGAGGAGCUUCUUGACAAUUUCACCAUCUUUGCAAAUAGCUCAGAUCUUGGAAAACAGAGUUUGCCCCAAACUCUUUUUGUGGUUGUUGAAUCAGUGAACGAUGAGGCUCCAGUAAUAACAGUCAGUAAAAUCCUUCAGAAAAUGUAUGCCAACCCCUUCUGUAGACCAGCUCUAUGCAAUAGGACUUCCUGUGAUGAUGAAAAUGUUUUGUAUAUGUGCUGUUCAACACAGUAGCCACUACUCACAUGUGGCUAUGAAGUAUUUGAAAUGUGGCCAGUAUGAUUAAGUCCUUCUGUUGAAAAACAGAGGAUCAAGUUGAACCCUAACAGAUGACGAAACAAGCCCAGGGAGCAGUGGGGAGCCGAAGGAUAGUUUCCUAUGUGUCAGAGGUCUCUGUGUUGGGGCGGCACGUCGAACUGUUGUCCUCAGCUUUGAAGUCUCCCUGUGACUGCCCAGCACCAUAGCCCCUCCUGCCGGGUUAACCUGCCUGCCCAGACGCUGCCCAGCUGCUGUGUUCUCUCUGACAGGGAAGGAUUUGAGAUGGAAGGACAAGGAAGAAUAGCCCUGAGCUAACAUCUGUGCCCAUCUUCCUCUGCUUUACAUGUGGGACGCCUACCACAGCAUGGCUUGUCAAUCCGUGCCAUGUCCACACCUGGGAUCCGAACCAGUGAACCCCAGGCCGCUGAAGUGGAACCUGCACACUUAACCGCUGCGCCACUGGUCCGGCCCAAGGAGAGAUCAUUUCCAUCUUGACAAACUGGAGUUAGGAAUUGGAGUUAGACCACUUCCAGUGAAUCCUUUGCAUUUUACUUUGAAAUAUGUUCUACUGAGUACUUUUGUGUUCGGGCAGACCAGUGAUUUUUGCGCAUACCUGAUAAAAUAUAUGUGUGUCCACAAGGGGGCUUCAUUUUCUUACUUUUCAACUUUUGCUUUCAAUAAUACUGUACGUUUUGUUUUGAUGGUGUUUUUUAUACCAAAAAUAGAAACACUUGCUUGUUUCUGAUAAACACUUGUCAUCAGUAAAAAGAGAGCUAGGGACAGUAGAAGAAUUAGGGGAGCACAGUCUGAAAUGAUGACUGACGGAGCAGAAGUUCGAAUAAUGGGGUAGUGAAUUCAUGAAUAUUUCACAUCCCUCCUAUGGAACUCAAAACGACGGUCUGGGUUUUUAGAUGGAUAAUAAUUAGGAUUAUACUGGACUAUAAUUAGGUUUAUAAAUCCCAUUAACCUGCUGUUUAAGUUAAAGGUGAAUUAAAAAUAUAUUAUCCCAAUUAAUGUGUUAAUUUUUUCAGAUAUUUAUUCCUUAAACCAUUAUUUCUUUGGUUUUGGAUUACUUUUAAUUCUGAAUUCAAGUUUGGGGGCCGUUGUUUUUCUUCUCCCCAUCUAUCUGAAGUUUCUAUUACCGAUGACUGGGAACCGGAUGAGGCCUCACCCAAACUAACGGGGCUGUUAAAUGAACUAAAUUUGGUUUGAGUGGCAAUGAAGACCUGAGCUUACCAGCUCUUGUUUUGAGUGGCGGGUUUUCCAUCUGUUUUGGAAGAUGGUAUUUUCCAGAGGCAAGAGGGGGCAAAAGCAGUGUUUCACAGAAGAGUAACUACAAUGGAAAACAUGUUUCAUCCAGCUUUUGUAUGCAUGGUGUUGGAAAAAAUUAGUAUCUGCCAGUCAUGGGAAGAGGAAUGGCGAUACAUUUCCAAAUCAGUCUGAGUUCUUGAAGAAAUGAGACUCAGAUACAUGGAUGGAUUUUAAAAUGUAAAAAGUGAAAAACUAGAAUGAGCGGGCUUGGAAUUUUGUGAAACAGUCUAAUUUGUGUAUUUUAUAGAAACUGUAGCUUUUCCGUGGAGUAACUGAAGGCCAAAAUUUUAUAAUUUAAACCUUAAGUUGAUUUGCAUUUCUGACAGAUAUUAAAAAAUUGGUGUACUUAGAGUUUAGGGCUGAAAAAUCCUGAGUGGGCAUAUUCAAAACGCCGAGAUAUAGGAGCAUCCACUGACAACACAGUGACUAAACAGAUAACUACUCACCACAAAUUGUGGAGGAAUGCCAUGGGAUUAAACAAAGUCUGCAGUACUCGUUACAGAAUGGCCCCU
ensembl:lncRNA